GUGUCAGCAGCCGCGGUAAUACGGAGGGGGCUAGCGUUGUUCGGAAUUACUGGGCGUAAAGCGUCUGUAGGCGGAUCAAAAAGUUAGAUGUGAAAUCCCUGGGCUUAACCCAGGAACUGCAUUUAAAACUAGUGAUCUAGAAUUUGGUAGAGGUUAGUAGAAUUUCCAGUGUAGAGGUGAAAUUCGUAGAUAUUGGAAAGAAUACCAGUGGCGAAGGCGACUAACUGGGCCAUUUUUGACGCUGAGAGACGAAAGCGUGGGUAGCAAACAGGAUUAGAUACCCUGGUAGUCCACGCAGUAAACGAUGAGUGCUAGUCGCUGGGUCAAUAGGCUCGGUGUCGAAGUUAACGCAUUAAGCACUCCGCCUGGGAAGUACGGUCGCAAGAUUAAAACUCAAAUAAAUUGACGGGGGCCCGCACAAGCGGUGGAGCAUGUGGUUUAAUUCGAAGCGACGCGAAGAACCUUACCAGACCUUGACAUGGUGUGUUUGAAUUACAGUAUUGUAAUUCUUCAGUUCGGCUGGCACACACACAGGUGCUGCAUGGCUGUCGUCAGCUCGUGUCGUGAGAUGUUGGGUUAAGUCCCGCAACGAGCGCAACCCUCAUUUUUAGUUGCCAUCAGGUUAUGCUGGGCACUCUAAAGAAACUGCCGGUGAUAAGCUGGAGGAAGGCGGGGAUGACGUCAAGUCCUCAUGGCCCUUACGGUCUGGGCUACACACGUGCUACAAUGGUGGUGACAGUGGGAGGCAAUUUCGCAAGAAAAAGCAAAUCUCCAAAAGCCAUCUCAGUUCAGAUUGGACUCUGCAACUCGAGUCCAUGAAGUUGGAAUCGCUAGUAAUCGUAGAUCAGCAUGCUACGGUGAAUACGUUCUCGGGCCUUGUACACACCGCCCGUC
rnacentral:rRNA from 1 species